rnacentral:rRNA from 1 species
UAAUACGAAGGGCCCGAGCGUUGCGCGGAAUCACUGGGCUUAAAGCGUACGUAGGCGGACAAGCAGGCAUCUUGUGAAAGCCCUCGGCUCAACCGAGGAAUUGCUUGGUGAACCGCUUGUCUUGAGGCGAGUAGGGGCUGUCGGAACGAUAGGUGGAGCGGUGAAAUGCGUUGAUAUCUAUCGGAACGCCAAAGGCGAAGGCAGACAGCUGGGCUCGUCCUGACGCUGAGGUACGAAAGCGUGGGGAGCGAACGGGAUUAGAUACCCCGGUAGUCCACGCCGUAAACGAUGUGCACUAGAUCGAGGGAGUUCUGACACUAUUCUCGGUCGAAGCAAAAGUGUUAAGUGCACCGCCUGGGGAGUACGGUCGCAAGGCUA